rnacentral:misc_RNA from 1 species
GCAAAGGCGUUGGCUGGACAAAAAGACGAGGCAUUCUUCUCUGCUAAUGCUGCAGCUCGUACGUCCAGAAAAUCCUCUCCCAGAGUGACCAACGGGGCUGUGCAGAAGGCUGCUGCUGCGUUGAAGGGCUCUGAUCAUCGCAGAGCGACAACUGUAAGUGCGAGGUUGGAAGCUCAACAGAAGAAGCUGAGUCUUCCAUCUCUUCCAACCACUACCAUCGGUUCUUUCCCUCAGACAUUGGAGCUUAGAAAAGUUCGACGAGAGUACAAGGCUAACAAGAUCUCGGAGGAAGAUUAUGUCAAAUAUAUUACGGAGGAAAUCAGCAAAGUAGUCAAACUCCAGGAGGAUCUAGACAUUGAUGUUCUUGUGCACGGAGAGCCAGAGAGAAACGAUAUGGUCGAGUAUUUUGGGGAGCAAUUAUCUGGUUUUGCUUUUACAGCCAAUGGAUGGGUUCAAUCUUAU